rnacentral:tRNA from 3 species
GGAAGAGUUGCGUCCCCGGUGGGGCGCCUGGACUUCAAAUCCAGUGAGGGGGCGCGAGCGUUCCCUGGGGUUCGACUCCCACCUCUUCCGCCA